AUUGCACUUGUCCCGGCCU
rnacentral:miRNA from 1 species